rnacentral:misc_RNA from 1 species
GUAACAAGGUUUCCGUAGGUGAACCUGCGGAAGGAUCAUUAAAGAGACGUUGCCCUUCGGGGUAUACCUCCCACCCUUUGUUUAUUAUACCUUUGUUGCUUUGGCGGGCCCGUCCUCGGACCACCGGCUUCGGCUGGUCAGUGCCCGCCAGAGGACCUAAAACUCUGUUUGUUCAUAUUGUCUGAGUACUAUAUAAUAGUUAAAACUUUCAACAACGGAUCUCUUGGUUCUGGCAUCGAUGAAGAACGCAGCGAAAUGCGAUAAGUAAUGUGAAUUGCAGAAUUCAGUGAAUCAUCGAAUCUUUGAACGCACAUUGCGCCCCCUGGUAUUCCGGGGGGCAUGCCUGUUCGAGCGUCAUUACAACCCUCAAGCUCUGCUUGGUAUUGGGCUCUGCCGGUCCCGGCAGGCCUUAAAAUCAGUGGCGGUGCCAUUCGGCUUCAAGCGUAGUAAUUCUUCUCGCUUUGGAGACCCGGGUGCGUGCUUGCCAGCAACCCCCAAUUUUUUCAGGUUGACCUCGGAUCAGGUAGGGAUACCCGCUGAACCUAAGCAUAUCA